UCUAAGGCAGCCCGAGCGGUGCUCAUUAACUCGUCCAACUGCAGCUUGCUCCUAUUCAUUAUGAGCUUCUACAGCCUGCCUGAGACUCUGCACCAUGAGAUUGCCAUAGUCCAGGGGCACUUCUUCUGGGCUGGCGAAGGCGAUAAGCAGAAGUACCACAUGGUUCGGUGGUCAGAGAUCUAUAAACCUCGCGAUCAGGGCGGACUCAGGAUCAUGUCCUCCAAAUGCAUGAACAUUGCUCUCCUGACUAGGUAGCUUUGGCGGAUUGCGAACGGAGAGAGUGGCUUGUGGCUUCGCAUCAUCCAGUAGAAAUACCUCCAUGGUCAGCCACUCGCCUUCAGCCAGCGGUCCGGUGGCUCCCAGUUCUGGCAAUCCAUCAUACAGCUCCUCCCAGUCCUCCGCAUCGAGACCUCGAUUGCAGUUGGAUCUAGCACCGCCACGAUGUUCUGGUUCGAUAGAUGGGCUGGGGACACCCCCUUCACGGCCCGCUUCCCUGACCUGUUCUCCAUCGCGGUAGAUCUGCGAAUUUCUGUUGUGGUGGCCCUUAUUGACAUAGGGCAUCUCACGUUCCGGAGACCAUUUGGACCAGAGGAGAAUGCUACGUAG
rnacentral:rRNA from 1 species